rnacentral:tRNA from 1 species
GGAAGUGCCUAGGCUCCGGUGAUCCUCCCGGUCUUCAAAACCGGCGGUCGCUCUUAACGGGUGACGGUGUGUUCGACUCACACGCACUUCCGCCA